rnacentral:tRNA from 1 species
GAGGGGAUAGCUCAGUGGUAGAGUGUAUGCUUAGCAUGCAUGAAGUCCUGGGUUCAAUCCCCAGUACCUCUG